UACAGAGGUCCCAAGCGUUGUCCGGAUUUAUUGGGCGUAAAGAGCGUGUAGGCGGCCAGGUAGGUCUGCUGUGAAAACUCGAGGCUUAACCUCGAGCUGUCGGCGGAAACCAUCUGGCUAGAGUCCGGAAGAGGAGAAUGGAAUUCCCGGUGUAGCGGUGAAAUGCGCAGAUAUCGGGAAGAACACCCGUGGCGAAGGCGGUUCUCUGGGACGGUACUGACGCUGAGACGCGAAAGCGUGGGGAGCGAACAGG
rnacentral:rRNA from 1 species